rnacentral:miRNA from 1 species
GCAGACACAUUCCAGCCAAUCAGCAGCAGACCCUCCCUCCCAGACCCUCCCACCUCCUGGACAGCAUCCAUUUUGAAGCUGCAUUCUAAGUGAGCUGUCCAGGAGUUGGGAGGGUCUGGGAGGGAGGGUCUGCUGCUCAUUGGCUGGAAUGUGUCUG